GGACGAACGCUGGCGGCGUGCUUACCACAUGCAAGUCGAACGGAAAGGCCCUGCUUUUGUGGGUUGCUCGAGUGGCGAACGGGUUAGUAACCCGUGAGUAACCUGCCCUUGACUUUGGGUUAACUUCAGGAAACUGGGGCUAAUACCGGAUAGGAGCUCCUGCUGCUUGGUGGGGGUUGGAAAUUUUCGGCGGUGGGGGAUGGACUCGCGGCUUAUCAGCUUGUUGGUGGGUUAGUGGCUUACCAAGGCUUUGACGGGUAGCCGGCCUGAGAGGGUGACCGGCCACAUUGGGACUGAGAUACGGACCAGACUCCUACGGGAGGCAGCAGUGGGGAAUAUUGCACAAUGGGCGGAAGCCUGAUGCAGCAACGCCGCGUGCGGGAUGACGGCCUUCGGGUUGUAAACCGCUUUCGCCUGUGACGAAGCGUGAGUGACGGUAAUGGGUAAAGAAGCACCGGCUAACUACGUG
rnacentral:rRNA from 1 species